rnacentral:lncRNA from 10 species
UCCCCCAGUACACACAGGCAGAUGCAUCUUUUCUUUAGCAGACUUCAUUAUCCUUUCUUUAGGAACUUCCCCCCUAAUAAGGAGUUGAUUUCCAAGGAUAACAUUGGAAGUUGCUUGCCAUCCCUUCUUCUGAAAAUCUCUAUAGAAUUCCACAAGUGUGUGCGUCUUCGUUAUCAACAAUGACUAUUGUUGUCUCCAUUGGUCAUCUCAACAUCACCAAUGCCUGGUGUAGUGCCUGAUGCGCAGUUGGAUUAAAUAAAUAUUUGAUAAAUUUAAUUGCAGUUGGAAUUCAAGAGGAGAUGAGGGAACAGGCAAAAGCUUUGGUUGUGGUGAAUUGGGGCUUAAUGACUCUUAUUUAUAAACACACACACACAGAGAGAGAAAGAGAGAGAGAGAGAGACAUGUGCAUUCAAGGAGAUAAAAAGGCUGGAAACCAGGAAGUUCCAAAAGGGCAUUAAUUGAUUCUCCAACUCAACUUUCUUAAACUUGGGCUCACCUACCACUGGGGUCCCCAGAGACUUUCUGGCAGUAUGUAGGUAUAUGGAUAGCUUUAAGAGAUUCAGUUUCCAUAUUUUCUGCUUCCAUAUGCAUGCCUCCCAAAGCUGACCUGCCAUCUCUGUGGCAGCUCUGCUUCUCCAUAUUCCCUUUUUCACAGCUGCCUUCCUCCUCCUUUAAUAAAGAAAGGGAAAUUGCCCACCUAUUCUCAAUCUUAUGAGGAUGCAUUUUCCUAAGGAGUAAAAAUCUCCCCAGCCCCAAACCGAGGUAUCAUUUGAGUCAGCAUCACUUUAGAAGGAAAAUUCCCAGGGCAAAGAAAGAACAUUUCAAAAAAAUUUGAAGGCCACAGUGCCAUAUUUUAUUCAGGCAACAAAUUCAUAGCACAGCUUUGUGCCUUAUAUAUCUAUCUGGCCAGCCAGCUGCCUACUUAUCCUAAAACCAGAACUCAGAAGGAUGAAGAUUGGCCAAGUACACAUGUUAACACAUUCACCUGAAUCAAUGAAGAAACCCCUUUCUUUAUACUGACUAAAAGUUAAUCUGGCUUGGCUGAUGGUUUGACAAUAAGAAAUGACUUUGCAGUUAGGUCACGUACCCUGAUCUAAUAAUUUUUUCAUAAAUUGAAAGGUUUUAAUGAAGAUAUACUUAAAGCAUGUAUAUGAUAUACACCAGUGCUCCUCAGACUUAAAUGUGCAUGUGAAUCACCUGGGAAUCUUAUUAAAAUGCUUAUUCUGAUUUAGUGGGGCUGGAGAGAGACCCAAGAUUCUGCAUUUCUAACAAGCUGCCAGGGGAUGCUGAUGUUGCUGACCCGUGCAUCAGACUUUGAGCUGUGAGAAUACACAAUGUGCUGGAAAAUAUACUUUUGUGAUGAAUUCAACUUACGAUUAGAAAAUUCAGAUAUCAAAUGUAAAAUACACAAGGGGUGCUUGAUUUUUUAAAAAAUAUAUUCUUAGGAAGUAUUCCAACAAGAAAAGAUGGUAGACCUCCAAUGUGGGUCACAGCUGGCAGUCUGACCCCAAGAAGUUUGAACCCAGCCUCUAUUAUCUGUGCAAGACAGAACUGUACUUCUGCUUUGGAGUUAAUCCCAGAAGAAUUUAUUUCUUUUCCAGCCCUUCACAUAGCUUGUGCUUUAUGGUGGCAGACUCAAUGGACCAAACCUUCAGCUGUGGGAAUCAUGGCUUCAGCCAUUGAACACACACAGCCCAGUCAGCUGGCAGAGUGGACAAUAAACCUACAAACACUCAGCAAGUCACUCAGGUUCUUGAUUCAAGAGUAAAUGGCUUCAUAAACACAAUCAUAACAACAGCGGCAUGAGUUGGUGCAUGUCAAUGUGUACAUUUCGGUAGAGAGGGCCCAGAGACACGUAUUUUGGCAGAUGCUAGGUCUUGGCAAGACUGUAAGCAAAAUCACAAAGCAGCCCAAGUCUGUGGUCAGUCCCAACUUCCUAUCAGUACACCUUUUCCAUCCAGGCACCCCAUAAAGGUGGAUUUGGUCUCUUCCACAUUCCAUUAAGUGUAGCCUCAAUUCCCAACAAAAACCCACACCACACCUCUUUUAAGGAAUUUUAUAGGAAAACUUUACCUAAACAUGUAUCCCCAAAUCCUCUGAACUAGCAAAAUCCUAUUCAGGUUUAUCUCCAUGUCAGAGAGAUGGGAAAUAUAUCAAGUUCUGUCAGCAGGUCAGCCAGGCCGAGCAUGCCAAGUGAUCUGGGGUUAUAGACAGCAGAUUAAUCUCAAAGCUGGAACUUCUUUAAGACCAGGAAGUAGCCCCUUUUCUGAUUAAAAGACAAGUCAAUAAUUCUGGGUCCUUGGUCCACCACUGUGAUAUGUCCCUUGCAAAACAGGCACUCUCAGGCAGUCUUCCCUGCAGAGCAACCAUGAUGGAUACUGACUACUGACUUGAAAGUGCUUUGACACCCCCAGAUGGAAGGAACUAAUCAAUUAUGCUUCUCACUUAGAGGCACCCUGCUCAUUCAUGCUGAAGAUAGAAGUCCAGAUAAAAGUAGAAUUACUGGGAGUCCAAGAUCCAGAAAGAAAAUGAGAGAGCUCAGCUGGUCACUGUGAAUGAUGUGCAUGUGCCCCAAGCCUUUGAAACACAUGACAUUUUCCAGCAGCCAAGCACUCAUCAAAUUGCAGAAUGUCGAAGCUACAAGGAAACUUAGCAAUUAUUUAAUGAUCUAAAUUACUUUUAUUAUAGUGAAGAGGAAGCUGAGGCCUAGAGAGGUAAAAUAACCUGUCAUAUAGCUGAGCAGCGAAAGGAACAGACUCAUUACCCUAGUGAUCUCCUGUCACACAACCCAUCUCAUGAAGCUCUCUCUCAGGUCGAGUUUAAUAGAUGAGAGAACAAGGGGUAGUCUGCCUAUGCAAAGCAGGUACACACAAUGAGAUCAGAGCAAAGGGGAUUUCCUCCCCUGAAGCUAAACAGCCCCCAUAAGUGAUGUUACGUGUUAGGAUAAUUUCCUUGGUGUGCUGGAAGAUGUUUCACAAGCAUGGGUGGUGGGGACCCUUAUUUGCCAUAUUUGCCAAUUUCUAUAGUGUAAAUACUCUCAUCAUGGCAGAUUUCAAGCUACCAACUUGAUGCCACUGAACAGCAGUUGGGGAGAGAUAUGUGCAAUCAGCUCUUGUGAGCUGAUAGAAGCUGGAUCCUCCACACCACUGGAAUUUCUGAGAAGUCUACAUCACGGGUUUAGGAAUGAAAUAACUUUCUGGCCCACAAGAAUAAAACACCCAGGUUUAUGAGGAAAAUCCUAGCAGCACACACUCUAGGUUUCACUCACUGAAACUCUGAUUCUCUCUGGAUCUCCUGGACAUCACAGUUCCCAUAUCCAUGGGAUCCAGAGAGAAUCAAAGUUUGGAGAAGUUACUUGGUCCAUCAUGUCUGUAUCUCUGGGUAGUAUCCUACCUAAUUGAUCCAAGGCAGGAGCACUGAGAGGUGGAAUCCACAUUCCCUAUCUUAAUGCUUUUGGCAACCAAGCAUUCCUUUCCCAGCAGUAACAGGAUCCAGUUUCCAAGGUGAUAUGUGAGCUCAGAGCCCCAUCUUUACCAACGUCAAAGGCAGUGCUUGGAUUCAGCUUCAGGUAGGCCUCCUCUGUUCAUGUAAGCAGGAAGGAAAACAUGUAAAACUGAAUUCCUCCUCAAUUUCUUUCUUUCUUUCUUUCUUUCUUUUUUUUUUUUUUUUUUUUUUUUUUUUUUUUUUUUUUUUUUUUUUUUUGGCUGAGAAGAGUUCCAAGGCUGGGGCAGCAACUCAUCAGGAAAAGUUCUUAGCCUGUGCUUUCUUUUUGCCAAACAUUGAUUUGCUAAUAGAGAAAAUAACUGGUGUAUAAACAAAAGUGGUUGAUGACAUCCAAGGGUCUGGAGCAAUUCCUCCACAUCGUUCUGACAGCUAACAAAUGGAACUAGCUCUUAGGGAGCAUGUUUAAGGAACAGCUGGAAUAUGUAACGGACAUUUUUCUGUGAAUUUGACAGGUCAAGCUCCAUCACGGUUGAGCUACGCUCACCGGACGUGGAUCAGAAUGAACUCUGCCAUUCCUCAGAAGGUUGCCAAGAGGGCUUUGAAGAGAAGGGAAUCCAAGGAACUCAGUUUCAGACAUGGAGAAGAAUAAAGACCAGACAAAUCAUGAGCAAACCUGAUUUAAAGAGAAAGAUCUAUAAAUACCAGUUGCUCAGCUUUCUCCCUGGUUUCCUGACCCUAUGAUGAGCUCCACCAAAAUUAAGUAAGUAUAGCCCUUUCCAGAGGGUCACUUGGAGGGAAGAUCCUGCCAUAUGUCGCCUAUUGGUCUUUAGCCUCACCACCACCCCAACAUCUGAUAAAGUCAACAGACGUGAGUUCCUAAAGGAUACAGAAUAUACAAGAUACUUUCCCUUAUACAAGGAUUCACUCUAAGCAUCGUUAAAAUGGCAAACUCACCUGGGACCCCUAAGAUAACCUGAUUUACCAAAAUCUGGUUUAUCCUUAGCAUAUGAGGAGCACAUCCAUUCUCUAAAGCAAGGAGAUUUUCAAGAUCAAUGAGCAGAGAAACUUCUCAAAAGAAUUUUAUAGAAUUUUUUAAGAUAACAAGCAAACUAACAAAUGAUUGAGUAAACCUGGUACUAUUCCUUUUCUUCUUCCAAACUCAAGGGAGUUAUUCCAAACAAUAACAUACCUAGAAAAGAACCUGUGAAGAUUGCAAGAUUAUCUAAAGAAGCCACCGGGGCAAGAGCGGUGGACAUGCUUCUCCACACGGCCCUGCACCCAGACCACUCAUUGUGAACUCCACCCAAAUGCAUAAACCUUUGGGAAGCAAAGGAUGAAUUGAUUAGCUGCAAUCUGUAGGCCCAAUCAAUCCAUCUCCACACUGUAGGGACCUGCACAGAAUCUCUCCUUAAAGUCUAGUCUUUCAUGAGGAGAAAUUCACCUCAUAAAAGACAUGAUCAGAAGACAUGACAGCCUGGAGGAGCAAACUACUGCUAGGUCAGUGGAAGUUCUCCUCCUGUUUGUGAAAGUGAGGAGAAAAGCACAGAGCAUUUGUCCCUCAGCUUGUCUCCCUUGCAGUCUUCUCACUUAUUAUAAUUCAAAAAUUACCUCCAUUUCAAGGAAUCCUUCUCCUUCAGAGCUUUCAGCUCAAGGUGGCCUGGUUUGAUCUCUCCUGACACCACUUCCUCCCUCCACCCCAAAGUAGAUUAGGAUCACCUUGGAUAACCACCAGAACUUGAUGAUUAAAACAUUCAGAGCAAAAAGAUCUUCAGAGGUCAUGCCAACUGAUAAGCCAAGUUAGUAGCAAGGCAUAAAACCCAGUGACAGAUAGAAUUGCCAGAAACUGGGCUGGGAUCCUUCCUGGUGUCUUU